AGUGUAUCUGGCAGGGGGGGUCGUCGCUGCUUGAACAGGGGGGCACUCGCUACUAGUUACAGUCCCCCUCUUCUUUAUGCCUCUUGGCUCUCCGACGAAUUAUCAUCUGACCGACUACCAAGAACCGUUCCAAGCACUUCCCACUCUUGAUCUUCCCCAAUUUUCUAUAUUUACUAUUGGCCACGUUAAUCCUUCCCAGGAAUCACUAUAGUUACGCUUUCGACACGGUAAUUCCUGUUAUUGGGACGGUAUACGAAUUUGAUGUCAGCCAAGGUCUAUAUGUAUGUAUAUAUCAUUCAAUAUUCAAGAGCGUGUAUAUACGAUUGAAUAAAAGCGACAACGAGACCAAGGUGUGUUAAAACGGACGAAUAUCCGUAAAACACGAAUUAACGGUGAAUCUAACAGAAAGGAUUAAAUCAAUCGAUUCCCACCAAUUUAUUCAUGAUUUGGAUUUUAAUGCGAUAUGCCUUUGGUAUAGUGAAGAAAAAAAAAAAGAUAAAGAAAUACUGUGAGAAUCGGUACAAAUCCUUUCACGGCAAAUCGAACCCCCUCUGGGUACCAUGGGCAUGAAACACCUAACCUGGACAAUAUUGAACAAUUAGGACCAAGCCUCCAGGAGGCGAGACUAUGCAGCGCCGGCUCAAACUCCCGGCCACCUAUUUCUCUCGCAAGGCUAUACACCCCCGCGAAGCUGCCAUUCUGACUGAUCGAUAUUACACGACGACCUUGCUCAGCUCACGCAAAUUCGCAGUGGUGAACGUGACCACGUGGGAACAGCUGAUUUAGUAGAAAUAAUGCCGUAGAUCGUCCAUUGAGAAUCCGAAUAUAAAAUUUAUAUGGACAAAGUAGUACGGUCAGCCUAGAAAGACAAAUGUAAGAUUGAAAAUGUGUAGAGUCAAGGUAAACGUAAAUAGUGCGAUGACAAUUUUUCGCUGGAAGUUCAGUUUGCGUGAAAGAAUUUUUUUUCUACGAAUUAUCGGUGAUCCAAGUAAUUUUAGAUUGAUUGGAUACGGCGAGGUAAGAAUUAUCGGUGCGAAUACAGUUACGUGGAUAUUUUCUGUUCGAGUUUAAAAGAAAAUAUCGCAAAUUUACCUUGUUGGCUUCGAAUUAUAUUGGCUCACUGUCAGGCUUAUCGUCAGAUGCCUUUUCGGCAACAACUAUGUUACGCUUUUUUAUCCUUACUUUUGAUAAUAGUCAUAUUACGGCUACUUCGCAUUAUACGAUCUUAAGAACCUGAACGUAGCCUAUACGAUAAUGUACCGGUUAUCGAUUAAAUGUUGUCUUAUCGAGAUUAGCUUCACAUGGCAUAGAUUAAAAAGAAAUGGAUUAGUGGAUCCGUGACGUUGUUUCUCGCUGGCUAAUAAAACGACGCUACUGUGUUAGUCAGACUAACAACUGUAUUGUACCGAACGAUACAGUAAACUUGUUGUGACACUCGAAUAAGCGUACCGAUUAUUUACGAUACUUUGUAAUAAAUCAUUAUGCUGCUGUUACUAUUUGAAUUUCUGUAUUGUCUCCCGCUCGAACCUAAUCAAGUGUUUACUUGACGCAUAGAUUAGUCAUCGUAUGAAUGCAGCUUUGUCGGGCUUUACAUAUUCAGUCAGCUUACUGUCCGGCUAGGGGGUGCAGUUUUUGGAUAAAUAAUAUUCAAUAAUCACGACCCGGAAAUCUUAUGUUUGUAGCCAUUGGGAGUUUAAAGAUAAUGUGGCGUUACCGCAAGAUAGAUCCAGUCAAUCUUCCAAGGGGACAGCUGUUGAGAUUUCUUCCGGUAAACCGCAACGAAGAAAAAAGCCGUUUGCUAAAACAGGCUUUGAGGAAUAUAAAAUCGGUUGAAAUUAUGGAAAGUGGAUUGCAGGGAAUGCUACUAAUGUGAUAAAUGUUUGUCAUAUAAAUGAUACAAGGAAAAUAAGCCAGGCUUGAUUGCACAACAUGUAACCUUAACGUGAAUUUCUGAAAAACAUAAACAGCGUUUUAAAGGUAUUUUCUCUUUUUGCCGCCAUCUUUGGCAGGCUAACUCGAAAAGGUAAUUUUUAAUUUGUUAGACCAAUUUCAAGCGCAAAAAAGAACGAUACAUCACUAAAGUGAUGUAUCUCACUAAAGGAACAGCCUAAUGACAUAACCAAAAAAUUCCAAGACAUUUUCCGUAAAUCAUUAUGAGCACUUACAUAAUUUGGAAAAAAAUGACUACCACUUACGAUCACAAGGUGAUAUCUCAAUGAAAUUGUAAGUAAUCAAAUAACUGCGAGUUUUAAAGAAUUAAUCGUUAAACGACCAGUCACUAAUGUUCUAAACCGGGUUAGAUUCUGAUCGGUUUUUAGAUAAGUUCGUUGAGUUCGUGCACGAAGCAAACAGUUGGUUUUUAGGUUAUUCCUAAGUCAGUUCAGUCUACGAGGGAUGACAACAUAUUACGAUUGUAUUAUUAUGAGAAAAAAAGGUCAAUAAACACAUAAGGAACCGAACAAAGAUAGUUGACAAUAUCACUGGCACGGCACUAUUAACGUAUUAACGCUCGAAAGGACUUCAAUGGCAACGACACAUAUUAAAGAGAGACAGAGAGUAAGAGAACAAGAAAAAAAUAAUCCGGUCCAAGGACACUCAUUGCCACCGGAACAACAACUCUAACAAAAACAAGAGCACAUGAGCACUGUAUGUACGAGAAAUUAUCUCAUAACAUAAAAGGUAGGAUAAUAUUAAAUUAAUCUACUCACCGGUCUUACAAUCAGCUAAGAUAUUCCCG